rnacentral:tRNA from 1 species
AGAAACUUAGGAUAGUCACCAAACCGAAGGCCUUCAAAGCCUUAAACAAGAGUUAAACCCUCUUAGUUUCUG